rnacentral:rRNA from 1 species
UCGCACCAGGCGCGAAUUUUUCUCAAUGGGCGAAAGCCUGAAGGAGCGACGCCGCGUGGGGGAUGAAUGGCUUCGGCCCGUAAACCCCUGUCAUUUGUGAACAAAUUGCUUCACCUAACACGUGAAGCAUUGAUUGUAACGGAAGAGGAAGGGACGGCUAACUCUGUGCCAGCAGCCGCGGUAAUACAGAGGUCCCAAGCGUUGUUCGGAUUCACUGGGCGUAAAGGGUGCGUAGGCGGUUUGAUAAGUCUGAUGUGAAAUCCCGCAGCUUAACUGCGGAACUGCAUUGGAAACUAUUUGACUAGAGGAAUGGAGGGGAGACUGGAAUACUUGGUGUAGCAGUGAAAUGCGUAGAUAUCAAGUGGAACACCAGUGGCGAAGGCGAGUCUCUGGACAUUUCCUGACGCUGAGGCACGAAAGCCAGGGGAGCAAACGGGAUUAGAUACCCCGGUAGU